UUUUGCUAGUAGCCAUUUUAAAAAAUGGGCUGAAAUAUAUUCACAAGCAAACAAGAUUUGUGUUUUUGAAGCUAUUAUUUGAAAUAUUACAAUGAUUGAUCUCCAGCCAGUAGUAAAGAGUUGUGGCUAUAACGUCUGCAAAGAGAGUUCUUUCACACGAAUAUUGAGUUUAACCAGAUGAUUUUGAAUAAAGUUGUGCAGCGGCAAUUCCUUAUAGCUCAUGGGCUGUUGUCGUGUCACGCUUUUUGCGAAAAAUGCCGGUCAAGAGUAUCUGCGGACUUUGAAAUCUUUUUAGAUGCCGCUAUUAUUUAAAAUAUUACAAUGGUUGAUCUCCUGCCAGUAGUUAAGACUUGUGGCUAUAACGUCUGCAAAGAGAGUUCUUUCACGAAUAUUGAGUUUAACCAGAUGAUUUUGAAUAAAGUUGUGGAGCGGCAAUUCCUUAUAGCUCAUGGGCUGUUGUCGUGUCACGCUUUUUGCGAAAAAUGCCGGUCAAGAGUAUCUGCGGAAUUUGAAAUCUUUUUAGAUGCUGCAAAGUGAUUUUUAUGUCAGAGCAUCUUUUGACAUAAGGUAUUAAUUUUUUUUCAUUUUGCUUAAUU